UUGAAAAGGAUGGACAUUUUUAAAGAUAAUAAAUCAAAGAGGCAACUGAAGCAUCUGAUAGCUUCAAUGUUGGUGUUCAUGGUCGAAGCUUCCUCUUCAUGGAUGAUACUAGAUCCAUCGUUGAUUAUCUCACUGUCGAUUUAAACUUUUCAUCCAAGAGUUCUAUCACGUGACUUUGGCAUCUCGAAUUGCUUCUUCUUUCAUAGAUCUAUCAUUCAAUGAAUUGAAUGCCACAACUGAGAUUGAUACCACCAUCAAAUUUUAGAUCCUUCAAAGAUAAAUUUAACUUUUUCUUAUCGAUGAUACCAGAUCUACCAUUGAAUUUCUCACUGCCGAUUUAAACUUUUCAUCCAACAGUUCUAUCAGAUCUAGCAUUGAUUAUCUCACUGCCGAUUUAAAAUUUUCAUCCAAGAGUUCUAUCAGAAAAGAAAUUACUUGUGUCAUUUGCAAGCUUCAUAUACAACUAUUCUAACUGCUAGCGGAUGAAUAGAGUUUUUCUCAUUCAGUAUCCUAACCAAAGCAGGAAAAAUUGUUUUAUGAUAACGGCAAGAAAGCUUAACAUUUUUGCAACUGAUGACAUACACUCUUGACGAUGGAAGACACACCGCAAUUCCAGAUCAUUUAUUUCAAAGAUUGUCUCUUCGUUUGUACUUAUAAAAUUAAGGAAAUGCAUUUAUGUUAGAGUUUAUUUUAUGUACAAUGUAUAAAGAAUAACAUUCACUAUCAAAUCAAGUUAACCUAUUAACAAUGUGUAAUUUUCAUACCAAGUUUGAUAUGAUAAUGUAUAAAAUAGAUUUUUUUUAAGAAAAAAAUUUAGCAACCUUUUCUUUAAAAUAAAAAAACUCAAUAGAGAUAAGUACAAGCAAAGGGAGUUGAACCUUUCCUUUCCAGUCCUAAUGAGAUAACAAACCUCUACUAACGAACAACCAUGAAGAAAAUAAAAUUUAGAGAGAAGUAGGAUUUUGUGAUUACCACAGAGUUUAUAAUACACUAUAUGAAAAUAUUACAAAUUAAGGUGCUUAAAUAAUCAAAAAUAUGGCAACCAAGAAUUAAAAGUUUGAAUUAUCGGCCUCAAACUUCCUUUGUCAAGUGCAUGAAUUAAAAAAGAGUGACUGCACAUCUAAAGUAACCUGAAGUGUUUUCCUCUUGUUUUCUUCUUCGAACUUGUCCAACUACACUUGUUAGUUCAUCAUUUCUUCAUGGAUUAUUGGAUCUUGUUAAAGCUAUUGAUACUUCCAUAUGAUGCUUCUUUGACAGUCACAUCGUAGGUGCCUUGGAACAAACUUCUUAGUCACUUUAUCGUUCCAACUGUGUUGUCUUCCAUAUGUCUAUUUUUUGCUUCUGUUCUUUCCAUUUCAAUGUUGCCUAGGCGAGAUAUACCCUUCCCUAGCCAUUGUAAGAGUUAGUGUUUCAAUUAA